GACGAACGCUGGCGGCGUGCUUAACACAUGCAAGUCGAACGGAAAGGCCCUGCUUUUGUGGGGUGCUCGAGUGGCGAACGGGUGAGUAACACGUGAGUAACCUGCCCUUGACUUUGGGAUAACUUCAGGAAACUGGGGCUAAUACCGGAUAGGAGCUCCUGCUGCAUGGUGGGGGUUGGAAAGUUUCGGCGGUUGGGGAUGGACUCGCGGCUUAUCAGCUUGUUGGUGGGGUAGUGGCUUACCAAGGCUUUGACGGGUAGCCGGCCUGAGAGGGUGACCGGACAGUUGGGGAUAGGGUUCCCGCCAGCCCUCCUCCGGGAGGGGGAGGUGGGGAUUAGUGAAAAUUGGGCGGAGCCCUUAACCAGCAAGCCCGCGUGCGGGAUAGCGCCCUGCGGUUUGUACCCCUUUUCCACCUGUGACGAACGGUGGGGGAGGGGAAUUGGUAAGGAGCACCGGCGUAACAAGAAG
rnacentral:rRNA from 1 species